rnacentral:rRNA from 1 species
CUCAACUUGAGAGUUUGAUCCUGGCUCAGAACGAACGCUGGCGGCAGGCUUAACACAUGCAAGUCGAACGCUCCGCAAGGAGAGUGGCAGACGGGUGAGUAACACGUGGGAACGUACCCUUUACUACGGAACAACUCCGGGAAACUGGAGCUAAUACCGUAUGUGCCCUUCGGGGGAAAGAUUUAUCGGUAAAGGAUCGGCCCGCGUUGGAUUAGCUAGUUGGUGGGGUAAAGGCCUACCAAGGCGACGAUCCAUAGCUGGUCUGAGAG